rnacentral:rRNA from 1 species
GACGAACGCUGGCGGCGUGCCUAAUACAUGCAAGUUGAGCGCUGAAGGCUGGUACUUGUACCAACUGGAUGAGCAGCGAACGGGUGAGUAACGCGUGGGGAAUCUGCCUUUGAGCGGGGGACAACAUUUGGAAACGAAUGCUAAUACCGCAUAAAAACUUUAAACACAAGUUUUAAGUUUGAAAGAUGCAAUUGCAUCACUCAAAGAUGAUCCCGCGUUGUAUUAGCUAGUUGGUGAGGUAAAGGCUCACCAAGGCGAUGAUACAUAGCCGACCUGAGAGGGUGAUCGGCCACAUUGGGACUGAGACACGGCACAAACUCCUACGGGAGGCAGCAGUAGGGAAUCUUCGGCAAUGGACGAAAGUCUGACCGAGCAACGCCGCGUGAGUGAAGAAGGUUUUCGGAUCGUAAAACUCUGUUGGUAGAGAAGAACGUUGGUGAGAGUGGAAAGCUCAUCAAGUGACGGUAACUACCCAGAAAGGGACGGCUAACUACGUG